GAUGAACGCUGGCGGCGUGCCUAAUACAUGCAAGUCGAACGAGCUCUUCGGAGCUAGUGGCGGACGGGUGAGUAACACGUUGGUACCUACCCCGAAGUGGGGAAUAACUGCCCGGAAGGGUGGCUAAUACCGCAUAAUACCGUAAGGUUAAAGCAGUAAUGCGCUUCGGGAGGGGCCUGCGUCCCAUUAGCUAGUUGGCGGGGUAAAUGCCCACCAAGGCGACGAUGGGUAGCUGGAUCGAGAGGUUGACCAGCCACACUGGGACUGAGAUACGGCCCAGACUCCUACGGGAGGCAGCAGUAAGGAAUCUUCCACAAUGGACGAAAGUCUGAUGGAGCAACGCCGCGUGCAGGAUUAAGGCCUUCGGGUUGUAAACUGCUUUUAUAUAGGAAGAUUAUGACGGUACUAUAUGAAUAAGGACCGGCUAACUACGUGCCAGCAGCCGCCGUAA
rnacentral:rRNA from 1 species